rnacentral:rRNA from 1 species
UACACUCCUGCGGGAGGCAGCAGUGGGGAAUUUUGGACAAUGGGCGAAAGCCUGAUCCAGCAAUGCCGCGUGAGUGAAGAAGGCCUUCGGGUUGUAAAGCUCUUUUGUCAGGGAAGAAACGGUGAAAGCUAAUAUCUUUUGCUAAUGACGGUACCUGAAGAAUAAGCACCGGCUAACUACGUGCCAGCAGCCGCGGUAAUACGUAGGGUGCAAGCGUUAAUCGGAAUUACUGGGCGUAAAGCGUGCGCAGGCGGUUUUGUAAGUCUGAUGUGAAAUCCCCGGGCUCAACCUGGGAAUUGCAUUGGAGACUGCAAGGCUAGAAUCUGGCAGAGGGGGGUAGAAUUCCACGUGUAGCAGUGAAAUGCGUAGAUAUGUGGAGGAACACCGAUGGCGAAGGCAGCCCCCUGGGUCAAGAUUGACGCUCAUGCACGAAAGCGUGGGGAGCAAACAGGAUUAGAUACCCGAGUAGUCCC